UACGUAGGGUGCGAGCGUUAAUCGGAAUUACUGGGCGUAAAGCGUGCGCAGGCUGUUUUGUAAGUCAGAUGUGAAAUCCCUGAGCUCAACUUAGGAACUGCGUUUGAAACUACAAGACUAGAAUAUGUCAGAGGGGGGGUAGAAUUCCACGUGUAGCAGUGAAAUGCGUAGAGAUGUGGAGGAAUACCAAUGGCGAAGGCAGCCCCCCUGGGAUAAUAUUGACGCUCAUGCACGAAAGCGUGGGGAGCAAACAGG
rnacentral:rRNA from 1 species